UACGGAGGGAGCUAGCGUUGUUCGGAAUUACUGGGCGUAAAGCGUACGUAGGCGGUUCUUCAAGUCAGAGGUGAAAGCCCGGGGCUCAACCCCGGAACGGCCUUUGAAACUAGAUAGCUAGAGUCUUGGAGAGGUUAGUGGAAUUCCGAGUGUAGAGGUGAAAUUCGUAGAUAUUCGGAAGAACACCAGUGGCGAAGGCGACUAACUGGACAAGUACUGACGCUGAGGUACGAAAGCGUGGGGAGCAAACAGG
rnacentral:rRNA from 1 species